UAUUGAGACACUCAAAGGUUGGAAAAAGGAGCACCGUUUUCUCUUUACUUUACACAGAACAGAAAUAUUUCUCACAUGUUGCUUGUGCGAAGGGUAACACUGAGAACUAAUUGGCUAUACUCAAUGGGUGUGCUAAAAAUUUUGCUGAAGGCUUUAGAGCAGUUUUGGUUGACAAGGAUCAGAAUCCGAAAAGGAACCCGGCAAGCAUUGAAGAGGUAGAGGAAAACGAGAUGGAAGCUCUCUGUAAACCAUUAAGUCCAUAAGUGGAAGAGUCAAAGCUGAGACAGAACAGCAGCUAUGGAACUACCGUUUAAAGGCCGCGCAUUUUUGUUGUCUAACGACUCUUCGACGAACCCAAUGAACCACAUUUGCAUUUCGGAUUGUACGUUCACUGCGAAUUUAGCUGUCUCCUUCAUGCCAUCUUUGUCUGUCCACAUCCCAACAAUGUUGUCUGAAAC